rfam:Felis catus isolate Cinnamon breed Abyssinian chromosome B4, whole genome shotgun sequence.
GCCUGGGUGGCUCAGUCGGUUGAGCGUCUGACUUCAGCUUAGGUCAUGAUCUCGCAGUUGUGGGUUUGAGCCCCGUGUCGGGCU